rnacentral:rRNA from 1 species
AGUGAACGCUGGCGGCAUGCUUUACACAUGCAAGUCGAACGGUAACAGGCCGCAAGGUGCUGACGAGUGGCGAACGGGUGAGUAAUGCAUCGGAACGUGCCCAGUCGUGGGGGAUAACGCAGCGAAAGCUGCGCUAAUACCGCAUACGAUCCCUGGAUGAAAGCGGGGGACCGAAAGGCCUCGUGCGAUUGGAGCGGCCGCUGUCAGAUUAGGUAGUUGGUGGGGUAAAGGCUCACCAAGCCAACGAUCUGUAGCUGGUCUGAGAGGACGACCAGCCACACUGGGACUGAGACGCGGCCCAGACUCCUACGGGAGGCAGCAGUGGGGAAUUUUGGACAAUGGGCGCAAGCCUGAUCCAGCAAUGCCGCGUGCAGGAAGAAGGCCUUCGGGUUGUAAACUGCUUUUGUACGGAACGAAACGGUCUGGGUUAAUACCCUGGGCUAAUGACGGUACCGUAAGAAUAAGCACCGGCUAACUACGUGCCAGCAGCCGCUGUAA